UCUCACAAAAAAUUUAAUUUAAUUUUUCAUUUUAAAAUUUUAUGUUGUAUAUUUCUGCGUUUCUUUGGUUUCUGUGUUCUUCGCCGCAAACAGAAUGUUCUUUGGUUUCCUUAAGACAUUAAUUUAAUCUCAGUGGCAAGGAAUGUGCAAUCAAUGUUAAUCCCAAAUAAUUCAUUUGGCACACUGUUUGGAUCAUCUAGCGAUUCUCAAGUUUCCAUUAUAACACCACAGGCAAAGAGAUUGCUUUUAGAAGCGAAAACUAGCCUUCAAUUGUUCUUUCCUGUUUCCCUUCCACAUAGUUGAUAAAGAGCAAAACGUAAGCCCCGAUUGGAUGGUCGCCCUCCUUUGGAGUAUAAAUCUCUUUCUCUUGUGAGUUGGUUCCUUUUAUACUGUUUUUUUCAGUAUUAAACUUCAUAUUUGUUCCCACAAUCCUAGAUGAGACAACUACGAGCCAAGAUUGGUAUCACUGCCAAAGCAGAUGGUUCUUGCUGUGUUUGAGAUGGGCAACAUAAUAGUUUUUGCUGUAGUCUAUGCCCCUAGAGAGGUUCAAAACAGGAGCCAGCAAGUAACUGACCAAGCUCUGCAUGGCUAAUUUGAUUACCUGGAGAUCGUAUGAGAAAACUGAAGGGUGACAGGCGAUCAACAGAGAUUUCUCUUGUCAUUCGUCAGACAAUGGAAGAAUGCAUAUUGACCAAUUUAAUGCCUCAUUCUCUGAUAGAUAUUUUUGUACAAGUUCUACAAGCAGAUGGAGGUUAACUCAUACCUCAAUAUAUGACUCUGCAUUUGUAGAAUUUCCCUUCCCACCCUUUCCCACAGCAUCACUCUUUCUAUAAUAUUCUUUUCUGAUGAAAUGGGCUCGCCUUGAGCUGAGCUAAUGGAGUGGAAACUGGAAAAACUAAUUUUAGAUUUCAUUGCACUUGAUUUGUUUGUGAACUAGUUCAUAUUUCAUCCCACUUAAAGGGAUAGUGUGCUUGCUUCGUGUAUGCGUUCUUUGAGGUUACCCUUGCCGCACAAGUUAUGUUGGUGGACUUGCAGACUUCCUUUUCUUUGACUUUUUCUAUUAUUGAAAGAGAAACAUCAGCAAACAUAAAUGUUGAUCUAUGUACGUGAAAGACGUUGAAGGGACUAAUAGGAAGUACAAGUUUACAUAUAUUCGACAAGUUCUAAACAAGAGUAUAUCUUUCAAAUGUCUUACACUGUCUUACUGUACCCUGUGUCUUUGAGUCUUUGAAGUUCUUUGUCCUUGGGUCAUCAGUUUUAACUGAAUUAAUCUAAACUUGAUUAGUCUUGUGGUGGCUUUGGCUAUGUGAACAACAUUGUUUCUGGUAUGGACCUAGGUUUGCUAAAGGUUGCUCUGGUUCUGAAAGAUCUGGUUAGGUGCUGCUUUAGAUGAACUGGUUUGUAAGAUUGGAUAUGAGUCUGUAGAGAAGCUGUGAUGUAAUAAGUGUAAAUCCAUCAGUCAACAAUGAACUGAAAUACUACUUGUAAUACCAAAUGAGUCCCAAAACAAUAUUGUUUGAUCAA